GCCAUGACUGCCAGCCACCUCCCUGCCCAACAGCAGGCCUAGCACAGCCCUCAGCUUCAAAGGACCAUGAGGACAAAGAGCAUGCUCCAUGGAGAAACAAUUAGCCUCUCCAACAGGAACCACUGGGAGGCUGCAAAGGCUCCAACUGGAUGAGGGCCCUUGGCCAGGGAGAAGGCACAGAAGCUGCUCUCUCUCUAAGGCGUCUGCUUCCUCUCAAGCUCAAAAUACUCCCUCCUCUCCCUCAGGACUGCUGCUCAUGCUGCCCCACGGGCUGUGCCCAUUGCGCCCCGGGCUGCACCUGCAGGGAGCCUGGACAAGUGCAGCUGCUGUGUGUGAAGUCGGGGGAGAGCCUGUUCUCCAAUGUAACUGGAGCAACAUGUUGAACCCCCUUUUUUUUGCUUUUUUCAGUCCAACCUGACCCCUUUGUCACACUCUCCUGCUGUGAAGUAUGUGAAAGAUAAGAAAAGUGGUUGAGUUUG